UUACAUGAACUUGAUCAAGGGAAAGAAUCCUGGUUUUGGCGCUCAUGAAUGAGGUGUCGACAGUGAUUAAUAUCUGUUAUUAUAUAUAAACUUUCCCUAAACCCUCUUUACAUGAACUUGAUCAAGGGAAAGAAUCUGUUUAUAGAGUGAAAUUGUUGUCAUAUGAGUGAACACCGUUUUUUAAUCAUAAUCCUGUACAUGUUAUAUCAUGCAAUGGAAAAAUAAGCUAUCUAUAGCUUUCUCAACAUAUUUUACCUUGUGAAAUUCUGUGGGUUUUAACUUUUUUGAAAAAUCGUCUAAAUUCAGUGGGUUUUAACUUUUUAAAAAUGUUUAUGUUUGUUGACAAAUUUUACCACAAAAAAAUGUCACACUUUCCCUAGGGCAUUAAAUUAUUUGAUCUUUACAUAUUUUUCUUUACAAAGUGCUGACUGUUGCUGUAAUUAUGCAUGAUAUUUUCAUAUCUAGAGGAAAAAAGUGCAUGGUUUGCAUGAUAGUUACCUAAGCCUACAAUAAAGUUUACGCGGAGUUGUCUCCAUUUCUUUUUCAAAUAUUUUACGCAUUUAGCUACAUAUGGUAUAUAUAUCUAAAAUAGAAAGGUGCUUACUUGAAGUUUGUAUUUUUAGGGCCAGUGCCAAUGUUAUAGAACUUGUUUCACAAUCGACAAAAAAAAUAAAUUAGUAAAAACUUA